rnacentral:rRNA from 1 species
UACGGGGGGAGCAAGCGUUGUUCGGAUUUACUGGGCGUAAAGGGCGCGUAGGCGGCGUAACAAGUCACUUGUGAAAUCUCCGGGCUUAACCCGGAGCGGCCAAGUGAUACUGUUGUGCUAGAGUGCGGAAGGGGCUACUGGAAUUCUCGGUGUAGCGGUGAAAUGCGUAGAUAUCAGGAGGAACACCGGUGGUGUAGACGGCUUUCUGGACCGUAACUGACGCUGAGACACGAAAGCGUGGGUAGCAAACAGG